AUGAACGCUGGCGGCGUGCCUCAUACAUGCAAGUCGAGCGAACGGACGAGAAGCUUGCUUCUCUGAUGUUAGCGGCGGACGGGUGAGUAACACGUGGAUAACCUACCUAUAAGACUGGGAUAACUUCGGGAAACCGGAGCUAAUACCGGAUAAUAUUUUGAACCGCAUGGUUCAAAAGUGAAAGACGGUCUUGCUGUCACUUAUAGAUGGAUCCGCGCUGCAUUAGCUAGUUGGUAAGGUAACGGCUUACCAAGGCAACGAUGCAUAGCCGACCUGAGAGGGUGAUCGGCCACACUGGAACUGAGACACGGUCCAGACUCCUACGGGAGGCAGCAGUAGGGAAUCUUCCGCAAUGGGCGAAAGCCUGACGGAGCAACGCCGCGUGAGUGAUGAAGGUCUUCGGAUCGUAAAACUCUGUUAUUAGGGAAGAACAUAUGUGUAAGUAACUGUGCACAUCUUGACGGUACCCAAUCAGAAAGCCACGGCUAACUACGUG
rnacentral:rRNA from 1 species